CGCGGUAAUACGAAGGGGGCUAGCGUUGUUCGGAAUUACUGGGCGUAAAGCGCACGUAGGCGGACAUUUAAGUCUCAUGGUGAAAGGCUGGGGCUCAACCCCAAGCAAGCCGGGGAUACUGGAGGACUGGAGACAGGCAGAGGCCAGCGGAAUUCCGGGUGUAGCGGUGGAAUGCGUAGAGAUCCGGAAGAACACCGGAGGCGAAGGCGGCUGGCUGGGCCUGAUCUGACGCUGAGGUGCGAAAGCGUGGGGAGCGAACAGG
rnacentral:rRNA from 1 species